UGAAAAACACGCAUGCGCAUUAAGUGGGCGGAUGUAAUGAUUUCGAUGGGAAGAAAUAAUAUUCAGCAUCGAAGGAAUAACAACUGAAAUCAUCCCGUCCUGCAGCAUGCACCUAUGUGAAUGUGGAGAAUGACCAGCAAUGUCCAAGGGGUAGCAGCAGGGUAACACUGCAUGAGGCGGUGCCCCCUGAAGGAGCCCAAAACACUGCUCUUCAAAUGGAACACAUCCAACCUUCAGGUGACCGUGCAGGAUGUACCACUCUGGAACAUCAAGCCUCUCCCCACCUGCCAGGUACACCCACCGUCUUCUGUGGCUGAAUAAUGUUUUGCUGUGAAUUUUGUCUCAAAGCAAAUCCUGCUCAAAUGUGACAAACUUUGGAGUGUAAGAAUGUGAGCGAUAUGCUGAGAUGUUAUACGUUUUGCCUUGUGACAAAAUGUUAUCAAAAACCUUUAGUGAUUUGUAUUCUAUUUUACUUUCAGCACAUGAAAAUAUUUCUACUUCUGACCAUCGAAGAGAAUGGAAAACCAUUUUCCAGAUCAGCCCUCAUACAUCCUCCUGAUGGCCUAACAACUGAAUGACAUGUCGAUGCUGAGUAUGAUCCAUUUCAAUCAUUUGAGGAAGCUCUCCCUGAUAUAGGGGAUUGGAUGUACAAUGACGGACAUACGUUUAAUGAAGGAUUUGAAGAUGGUUUGAGUGAGGAGUGUGCAGAAGAGUCCAAUUUCAAGGACACAACAGACAAACCAAUACAUGACAAUGCAUCAGAAACCAUGGCAGAGUGCCUUCUGAUCAGCAUGGGUUAUGUAAACUGUCCUAAAGUCACAGGUAAGGCCCUAAGCCAUAUGCUCAAAAUGUUCAAGUUGCUUUAUCCCGAUAGUCUGAACACAGACUGCUUAAACAGUGUGCAGAAGUUCCAAAACUUUUUUUUAUCCCACUCUGCAUCAUCGCCUACUAUAUUACAUAAAUCCUCCAAGAAUUGUUUUGGGCCAAUAGAAAGUAAACAAAUAAAAUGCCUGCUUUGUGGGACCAGUGUGUCAGAAGAAAGGUUCUAAUCCUUUUUUUAAAGUAUGUACAGAUUGAUUUCUUGUUUACCACAGCACAUUCAUGUGCCAAAUGGGCCCUCGUUGGUGAAUAUAAACAUGCAGGUUUUUCUUUGCUGCAAGAUAGUGUAACAUAUGAGACAUGCAGUCAUGUUAUUCCCCUAUUGGAAACCUCUGCAGUACAGUAGUAUUCUUGGAUGACAUAUUGGGUAAAGUUGUUUUCCUUGACUUCACAUCUAUGCCUGGCAUAGUGAUUGCAGUUCAUUUCCCCAACACACUUGAAAAGUUUGAAAUAAUGAAGAACUGAACUGGCCUAAGAAGCCACAAAUCAAAUCUUUAAUCAUUGUUAUAAAUGCUCUGAAAAUACACACUGAUGUGAUGUUGCCGUGGAUUCUGUAAAUAUGUACUGUAUAUGGAGUAUCAUUGUUGAUGAUGUUUUUGCAUUGUGUGUAAUAUUUCAGUGGCAAAUAUAUUACAUUUACUUGUUUAAUAAAGCCACUGUCCUUUUUAAUGAAUACAUAGGCCUACUAUGCUACUGUAUUUUAAUAUUAGUCCUUAUGAUGGUGGUUGGAGAGCCAAAUAUCUUCUGAAGUGGUACUUUGUUAAAAGAGUUUGAGAACCACUGCUCUAGAAAGUUCACAAAUGUUAAAAGCUCUUAAAAAGUGUCUUGUGAUCAUAUCAGUAUUGUUUGGGUUCAGUUUUAAAUCUCACAAUUGUAGUCACUGAGUUACUGUACAUGACGUGUGGAUAAGAAAUCAACAAAUUAAGUCCAACUUUAUUUAAAUAAACCAUUUAGAUUACAGACCAUAUAUCCAUAUUGUCUGAAUUCAUUAUUUUCUCCCAAUGUUGGCAUGAGAUCAACUGGAAUAUGAUUGAGGUAUAACUAAAUUGAGCCCAUUAAAAUGCAUUUUUUUAGAAAACGGGUAUAUCUAACAACUCAAAUAGUGAGCAGUGAGAGACAAAACCAAGUAUAUCUCUCACUGAGACAUCAUUGAGACAUAUUGACACCAAUACUCAUCAAUUGUCUUUUUGCCGAAAUAGAAAAGAGACAUCUGAGAACUCAAACAGUGAGUAGUGAGAAACAAAACCAGGUGUUUCUCUCACUGAGUCAUAAUUGAGACAUAUUGGAGACCAGCUCAUUCAUCUCUCAUUUUGGUCUUAGUUGAAAUGGGGAAAAGAGAUAACUAUUAGACAACUAUGAGAUCUCUCAUAGUGCUCACUGUGAGCCUUAUUUCUCAGGAGAUACAUUUGAGAAGAAUGAGAAAACUACUUUGGUCUCCAUUAGUGCUCUUUUAUGUCUAGGAGAUAGAUAUAAGACAUACAUGAGAUCUCAUCUUCAAUUUUGCUUUGCUAUGGGAAACACGUGUUUGAUGAGCAUUCCUCAACUUUUUCGGUCUUUUUUGACACUCGUGCCAGCUUUUUUUAAGCAUGUUGCAGGCAUCAAAUUCCAAAAUGAGCUAAUAUUUGCAAAAAAAAAAGUUUCUCAGAUCCAACAUCAAAUAUCUUGUCUUUGCAGUCUAUUCAAUUGAAUAUAAGUUAAAAAGGAUUUACAAAUCAUUGUAUUCUGUUUUUAUUUACCAUUUACACAACGUGCUACUUCACUGGUUUGGGGUUUUGUACAUGUUGACAGUACAUUGCAGUGUUAUUUUGUUACAGCCGUGCCCACUGUGUGAAGUACUUUUGCAAGACUCCUAGCAAUAAUAAUACACUUCACCAAAGAGCCUGCUGUAAAAGAAAUGACCAUUGAAUGAAGAUACAUACUCAGGUCACCGUGAUCUGAAAAGGAGAGUGAAGAAUGUUUUUGUAUUCCCCAGAUUCUAAUCAUCUUGGAUGAAUAAACAAGCAAUUCCUAAUUUCACUUGGAAAUGUGUUUACUAUAAAAGUGUAGCACUGUUUCCACACAAAAUACCUUCUGUUUUUGGAAAGAUGCCCAUGUGUGUCUUCCAGGUUGAACAUUCCACCCUUUGUGCCUGCCCGGACUGUGCUGGAAGGCCUCGAGUCAGAGGAUGCGUGUGAAGACAAGAAAGCUGUAAAAAAGGAGAUCCAUAGCAAAAAGGUCAAAUAAGUACAAACAAGUAUUUUACCUCGAUUAUUAACAGUUUAUUUUGCCCAAAAAUGUUAAGGGAGCCAAAAAGGACAAAAUGGAAGAGGAGAAUACAGACCUGCUCAGACUUUGCCACACAGUACCGCUGGAGGUGGUGAACUUAGGUAAGAAUCCAUGUUUCAAGGUUGAUCGGGGUGGGGGGAAGACAACGACACAAAGGUGCUCCUCUUAUUUAGACUUUUUGUUUAUGGAGGUGGGAAAGGUUACGAUCCAGAGAAGAAAGACUACUCAGGUUUUGAGGCCUGGUUGCAGUGUUACUAUGUGGAUGGAAUGAAGUCUGUACGCGACCACAAUGGCAGGACUAUGUGGUUCAAAGUAUGCAAACACAUUUUCAUACGUAACAACUAUAUUUGUAGCACGUAUUGACUAAUAGAAAAUGGUGUCAUUUCAGGGCGAUCCAGGUCCUAUGGCUCCUAAAGGUAAACGCCAGAAAAAAUAGUUGAGAUACCAUUACACAUAAGAGAAAGCUUAGUGUGUCUUUAUCUUUUCUCACACACCAGAAUCAAAGUCUCCAAAGGCCAAAAAGAGAAAAGAUACAGAUGCAGACCAUGAUUACCCCCGCAAGAAAAAGGUAUAUUCAGUAGGUAAUCACCACCAGCACAUAGAAAUCUAACCCCAUUGUGGCUGUACUUCAGGUGUCCAGGAAACACAACUCUGACAGCACAGUGAAGAAAAAAGCAGCCAAAAAGCCCACAAAAGCAGCAAAGGAAGAAGAAAAUGGACCUCAAGAAGAAGCCACACCCAGAAGAAGAUCAGCAAACACACCUCAGCAAGAACCGAAAUCCACGUCAGGCAGGAGGAAAAAGAACAAUACAGAGCCAGCUGCAGGUCUGAUUCUAAUAAUACUCCCAUUUUCUGAAAAUAUUAAGAGCCUGAUCUUUGAGGAUCCAAUUCCCACACACUUAUCUGUGUGCGCAAACUAUAAAAUUGCAUGUACUGUUGGUGGACGUGUUGUAUGUGAUCUACUUUGUGCAAUUGAUAGCAGCAAAAGUGGCACAGAUCACCCUAUUUUUGUGUACUAGAAGCAUUAUGUGCCCUUGGAAACACUUCUUUCCCUCUACAUUCAUGUUAUUAUGCUCUCCACACUGGAGGGGGGCUUAUAUUAGAUUAUAGCACAUAUCGAUCAUCUAACACCUUUUCUGCAAUAUAGAAUCACAGUAUGUAUACUAUUUGCAGCAGGAAUGAUCAAACUGCAUAUUGCAAGACAUUUUUUUUAGGAGUUAUACUAAAUACAAAAAAAAAAACGCAACGCUUUUGUUCUUGUUCCCAAUUUAAAUGAACUCAAAGAUCGAAAACUUUGACUAUAAACACAAAAUACCUGUUCCUCUCAAAUAUUGUUCACAAAUCUGUAUACAUUUGUUAGUGAGCAUUUUUUCUUUGCCAAGAUAAUCCAUCCCACCUGACAGGUGUGCCUUGAGCUGUCCAAAAUAAAAGGCCACUGUGAAAUGUGCAGUUUUAUCACACAACACAAUGCUUCAGAUGUCGCACGUUUUGAGGGAGCGUGCAGUAGGCAUGCUGACUGCAGCAAUGUCCACCAGAGCUGUUGCCCGUCAAUUAAAUGUUUAUUUCUCCGCCAUAAGAAUAGAAUAGAAUAGAAAGUACUUUAUUGAUCCCUGGGGGAAAUUCAGCACCACAGUUCGCUCACAAUAAACAAUGAUAAUAAUAAAUAAUAUAAUAUAUAUGAAUAAUAUAAAUAUAUUCUACAUUUAAGUGCAGUCAAGGAACAUAUGCAUUAUACAGUCUGAUGGCUGUCGGUGUGAAGGACCUCCUGUGUCGUUCCGUGUUGCAUUUUGGGAGUCUGAGCCUUCCACUGAAUGUGCUCAUUCUCUCUGCAAGGUCCGAGUGUAGUGGGUGGGAGGUGUUGUCCAUAAUGGCUAGGAGUUUUGCUAGACUUCUCUCUGACACCACCGCCAGAGAGUCCAGCUCCACUCCCAUCUUGUUACUGGCCUUCUCUACCAACUUGUCCAGUCUGUAUGUGUCCCUCACUCUCAGCCCGCUGCCCCAGCAGGCCACGGCGUACAAGAGGGCGCCUGCCACCAGUGACUCGUAGAACAUCUUCAACAUCUUUGUACAGACGUUGAAGGAUCCUAGCCUCCAAAGGAAAUAUAGAUUCGGCUCUGUCCCUUCUUGUAGAGGGCCUCAGCGUGUUUUGACCCAUUCAGCUUGUUGUCCAUGUGUACUCCUAGGUAUUUAUAAUCCUCUACCAUGUACACAUCCACCCCUUUGAUGGAAAGAGGGGUCGCCAGAGUACUCCUCCUCCUUCCCAGGUCCACAACCAGCUCCUUGGUCUCCGUAACAUUGAGCUGGAGGUGGUUCUUUCCACACCAUGUGACAAAGUCCUCCACCAGUGUCCUGUAUUCCUCGUCAUCACCUUCCUCAAUACACCCCACUAUCGCAGAGUCAUCAGAAAACUUCUGAAGGUGGCAGGACUCUGACUGAUAGUGGAAAUGGGUGGUGUAAAUGGUGUAGAGGAAGGGGGAAGAGUACUGUAGCCUCCGGGGCCCCGGUGUUGCUGACCAGCCUGUCAGACACACAGUCCUGCAGUGGCAUAUACUGUGGUCUGUCAGUCAGGUAAUCUACAACCCAGGACACCAAGGGGGCCUCCACCUGCAUCUUCUCCAACUUCACACCCAGUAGCCCAGGCCGUUUAGUAUAAGCCGCCUCCAAAGGUGUUUCAGAGAAUUUGGCAAUACAUCCAACUGGCCUCACAGCCGCAGACCAUAUUGAUUGGCUGAGACCUGCCACCCGGACAGCUGCUACAACAAUUGGUUUGCUUAACCAUAGCAUUUCUGCACAAACUGUAAGAAACUACCAUGAAUUGAUUAACGUGGACCCCGACUUAAACAAGUUGAAAAACGUAUUGGGGUGUUACCAAUUAGUGGUCAAUUGUACGGAAUAUGUACUGAACUGUGCAAUCUACUAAUAAAAGUAUCAAUCAAUCAAUCUGUCUCAAGAAAGCUCAUCUGCAUGCUCGUGGUCCUCAUCGGGGUCUCGACCUAACUGCAGUUUGUCUUCUUAACCAACUUGAGUGGGCAAAUGCUCACACUCAAUGGCGUCUGGCACAAUACAGAGGUUUUGGUAUGUUAUUAUUGACAGCGAAACCACGUGCAUUUUAUUGAUGGCAUUUUCCAUGCGCAGAGAUACCGUCACGAGACCCUGAGCCCCAUUGUUGUACUAAUCACCCGAGGCCAUCACCUUUAUAAAUAACAUUUACUAACUCAUGUUGCAAGGAUCUGGAAGCUAAAAACAUCCCAGUUCUUGCAUGACCAGCAUACUCACCGGACAUGUCACCCAGUAAGUAAUUUUUGAGAGGAAUAUAUAUUUUCUGUAUAGUAAAAGUUUCAGAUCAUGGGGAGCAAAAACAAAAGUGUUGCGUUUAUAUAUUUGUUCAAUACCAUAUUUUUCGGAGUAUAAGUCGCACCUGCCGAAAAUGCAUAAUAAAGAAGGAAAAAAACCAUACAAGUCGCACUGGAGUAUAAGUCGCAUUUUUGGGGGGAAAUUUAUUUGAUAAAACCAGACGGCAAGAAUAGACAUUUGAAAGGCAAUUUGAAAUAAAUCAAGAAUAGUGAAGAAUAGGCUGAAUAAGUGUAGGUUAUAUGAGGCAUAAAUAAGCAACUGCUAUGUUAAGCUAACAUAUUAUGGUAAGAGUCAUUCAAAUAACUAGAACAUAUAGAACAUGUUAUACCUUUAACAAACUAUCUCUCACUCCUAAUCCAUAAAUCCCAUAAAAUCUUAUACGUCUAGUCUCUUACGUCAAUGAGAUAAAUAAUAUUGAUAUUUUACGGUAAUGUAUUAAUAAUUUCACACAUAAGUCGCUCCUGAAUAUAAGUCGCACCCCCGGCCAAACUAUGAAAAAAAAACUGCUACUUAUAGUCCGAAAAAUACGGUGCAUAUUUUCUAAAUCAAAAAAGGAAUACCAUUAAAAAACAACAUAAAUUAAUAGACUUUGGUUUAAUCGGCCCUUUAAGUUGUCCAGCAGCUAUAAAAUGAUAUUGCUGAAUAUAUAUCUUCUUCUUUUUAUUUCUAACAGUCCAAAUAUGACAUGCACACGUAGAACAAAGGCUUCUCUGUUCAGUUGUCUUUGCAGCGUGAUGGCCUCCUUUCUCACAGCCCUGUGUGCAACUAUGUCAGUUGUCUUUGCAGCGUGAUGGCCUCCUUUCUCACAGCCCUGUGUGCAACUAUGUCAGUUGUCUUUGCAGCGUGAUGGCCUCCUUUCUCACAGCCCUGUGUGCAACUAUGUCAGUUGUCUUUGCAGCGUGAUGGCCUCCUUUCUCACAGCCCUGUGUGCAACUAUGUCAGUUGUCUUUGCAGCGUGAUGGCCUCCUUUCUCACAGCCCUGUGUGCAACUAUGUCAGUUGUCUUUGCAGCGUGAUGGCCUCCUUUCUCACAGCCCUGUGUGCAACUAUGUCAGUUGUCUUUGCAGCGUGAUGGCCUCCUUUCUCACAGCCCUGUGUGCAACUAUGUCAGUUGUCUUUGCAGCGUGAUGGCCUCCUUUCUCACAGCCCUGUGUGCAACUAUGUCAGUUGUCUUUGCAGCGUGACGGCCUCCUUUCUCACAGCCCUGUGUGCAACUAUGUCAGUUGUCUUUGCAGCGUGAUGGCCUCCUUUCUCACAGCCCUGUGUGCAACUAUGUCAGUUGUCUUUGCAGCGUGAUGGCCUCCUUUCUCACAGCCCUGUGUGCAACUAUGUCAGUUGUCUUUGCAGCGUGAUGGCCUCCUUUCUCACAGCCCUGUGUGCAACUAUGUCAGUUGUCUUUGCAGCGUGAUGGCCUCCUUUCUCACAGCCCUGUGUGCAACUAUGUCAGUUGUCUUUGCAGCGGCGUGAUGGCCUCCUUUCUCACAGCCCUGUGUGCAACUAUGUCAGUUGUCUUUGCAGCGUGAUGGCCUCCUUUCUCACAGCCCUGUGUGCAACUAUGUCAGUUGUCUUUGCAGCGUGACGGCCUCCUUUCUCACAGCCCUGUGUGCAACUAUGUCAGUUGUCUUUGCAGCGUGAUGGCCUCCUUUCUCACAGCCCUGUGUGCAACUAUGUCAGUUGUCUUUGCAGCGUGAUGGCCUCCUUUCUCACAGCCCUGUGUGCAACUAUGUCAGUUGUCUUUGCAGCGUGAUGGCCUCCUUUCUCACAGCCCUGUGUGCAACUAUGUCAGUUGUCUUUGCAGCGUGAUGGCCUCCUUUCUCACAGCCCUGUGUGCAACUAUGUCAGUUGUCUUUGCAGCGUGAUGGCCUCCUUUCUCACAGCCCUGUGUGCAACUAUGUCAGUUGUCUUUGCAGCGUGAUGGCCUCCUUUCUCACAGCCCUGUGUGCAACUAUGUCAGUUGUCUUUGCAGCGGCGUGAUGGCCUCCUUUCUCACAGCCCUGUGUGCAACUAUGUCAGUUGUCUUUGCAGCGUGAUGGCCUCCUUUCUCACAGCCCUGUGUGCAACUAUGUCAGUUGUCUUUGCAGCGUGAUGGCCUCCUUUCUCACAGCCCUGUGUGCAACUAUGUCAGUUGUCUUUGCAGCGUGAUGGCCUCCUUUCUCACAGCCCUGUGUGCAACUAUGUCAGUUGUCUUUGCAGCGUGAUGGCCUCCUUUCUCACAGCCCUGUGUGCAACUAUGUCAGUUGUCUUUGCAGCGUGAUGGCCUCCUUUCUCACAGCCCUGUGUGCAACUAUGUCAGUUGUCUUUGCAGCGUGAUGGCCUCCUUUCUCACAGCCCUGUGUGCAACUAUGUCAGUUGUCUUUGCAGCGUGAUGGCCUCCUUUCUCACAGCCCUGUGUGCAACUAUGUCAGUUGUCUUUGCAGCGUGAUGGCCUCCUUUCUCACAGCCCUGUGUGCAACUAUGUCAGUUGUCUUUGCAGCGUGAUGGCCUCCUUUCUCACAGCCCUGUGUGCAACUAUGUCAGUUGUCUUUGCAGCGUGAUGGCCUCCUUUCUCACAGCCCUGUGUGCAACUAUGUCAGUUGUCUUUGCAGCGUGAUGGCCUCCUUUCUCACAGCCCUGUGUGCAACUAUGUCAGUUGUCUUUGCAGCGUGAUGGCCUCCUUUCUCACAGCCCUGUGUGCAACUAUGUCAGUUGUCUUUGCAGCGUGAUGGCCUCCUUUCUCACAGCCCUGUGUGCAACUAUGUCAGUUGUCUUUGCAGCGUGAUGGCCUCCUUUCUCACAGCCCUGUGUGCAACUAUGUCAGUUGUCUUUGCAGCGUGAUGGCCUCCUUUCUCACAGUCCUGUGUGCAACUAUGUCAGUUGUCUUUGCAGCGUGAUGGCCUCCUUUCUCACAGCCCUGUGUGCAACUAUGUCAGUUGUCUUUGCAGCGUGAUGGCCUCCUUUCUCACAGCUCUGUGUGCAACUAUGUCAGUUGUCUUUGCAGCGUGAUGGCCUCCUUUCUCACAGCCCUGUGUGCAACUAUGUCAGUUGUCUUUGCAGCGUGAUGGCCUCCUUUCUCACAGCCCUGUGAGCAACUAUGUCAGUUGUCUUUGCAGCGUGAUGGCCUCCUUUCUCACAGCCCUGUGUGCAACUAUGUCAGUUGUCUUUGCAGCGUGAUGGCCUCCUUUCUCACAGCCCUGUGUGCAACUAUGUCAGUUGUCUUUGCAGCGUGAUGGCCUCCUUUCUCACAGCCCUGUGUGCAACUAUGUCAGUUGUCUUUGCAGCGUGAUGGCCUCCUUUCUCACAGCCCUGUGUGCAACUAUGUCAGUUGUCUUUGCAGCGUGAUGGCCUCCUUUCUCACAGCCCUGUGUGCAACUAUGUCAGUUGUCUUUGCAGCGUGAUGGCCUCCUUUCUCACAGCCCUGUGUGCAACUAUGUCAGUUGUCUUUGCAGCGUGAUGGCCUCCUUUCUCACAGCCCUGUGUGCAACUAUGUCAGUUGUCUUUGCAGCGUGAUGGCCUCCUUUCUCACAGCCCUGUGUGCAACUAUGUCAGUUGUCUUUGCAGCGUGAUGGCCUCCUUUCUCACAGCCCUGUGUGCAACUAUGUCAGUUGUCUUUGCAGCGUGAUGGCCUCCUUUCUCACAGCCCUGUGUGCAACUAUGUCAGUUGUCUUUGCAGCGUGAUGGCCUCCUUUCUCACAGCCCUGUGUGCAACUAUGUCAGUUGUCUUUGCAGCGUGAUGGCCUCCUUUCUCACAGCCCUGUGUGCAACUAUGCCAGUUUGCACGCAGAUUUCAGACUUUUUAAGAGGCACGAUACUGCCUGCAGGACACUUUCAGCAUUGAUAAAUCUCACUGUUCAUGUUGAGUGAUUUGUAUUUGCAUUUUCUCCUCCCAGUAUUGUGGGCAUUCUGAUAAUCAACAUAUAUUCUGCAUACAUCAUUAAGACAAAUAUGUUAAAUGGAGGGAAUAAGCGAUAGAAAAUGGAUGGAUGGGAUGGAUUGCACUCCUUAUUUUGCUCAUUAAUCGACAAGUAUUUAGAUCAGCUUUGCGUGUACUAACAAGUUUGCAUGUGUUUUGAUACACAUAAACCUUUUGUAGAUUAUACUGUAAGUGUGGUAAACGUACUUUUUGUUGCAGGCUUCAAGACACGUAGCGGGAGACUGACAAGACAGAAUGUCAAGUAAAGGACAUCUAUUGGAAAAUACUGUUUUUAUUCCAUGAUACAUAUUUUUAAUAAACAUUCCACACGUUUAUUCUUGGCAUACUUUUCAAUCACAAUUCACAAUACAGUAAAUUAUUUGAUUUAAUGUGAAGUUAAUUAUAUUUAUAUAGCGCUUUUCUCUUGUGACUCGAAGCGCUUUACAUUGUGUAGCCCGAUAUCUAAGUUACAUUUUGAAACCAGUGUGGGUGGCACUGGGAGCAGGUGGGUAAAGUGUCUUGCCCGAGGACACAACAGCAGUGACUAGGUUGGCAGAAGCGGGGAUCGAACCUGGAACCCUCAGGUUGCUGGCACGGCCACUCUACCAACCGAGCAGAAAUGAUGGCUACCGAGCUCUACUCUUUCCUCUCUCCCUCUUGAGUACAGGUAAAAAAACCUUCUUUAUGGUGACGGCCACCUAUGUCACGUGACACAUGCUUCUGUUCCUUGUGUACACAUCCACAAACACCACGUGACAUACACACAUGAUCUGGCUCCUACAAUGACUAACAUGGCUCAUUUGCAUAAUACACUAAAAACUACUUGGGUCUCUGAGGCAGACGAUGAGAGUCCUGUAAAAUGUAUACAUACAGUGGGGCAAAAAAGUAUUUAGUCAGCAAGUUCUCCCACUUCAAAUGAUGACAGAGGUCUGUCAUUUUCAUCAUAGGUACACUUCAACUGUGAGAGACGGAAUGUGAAAAAAAAAUCCAGGAAUUCACAUUGUAGGAAUUUUAAAUAAUUUAUUUGUAAAUUACGGUAGAAAAUAAGUAUUUGUUCAACCAUUCAAAGCUCUCACUGAUGGAAGGAGGUUUUGGCUCCAAAUCUCACGAUACAUGGCCCCAUUCAUUCUUUCCUUAACACGGAUCAAUCGUCCUGUCCCCUUAGCAGAAAAACAGCCCCAAAGCAUGAUGUUUCCACCCCCAUGCUUCACAGUAGGUAUGGUGUUCUUGGGAUGCAACUUAGUAUUCUCCAAAUACGACGAGUUGAGUUUAUAACAAAAUGGAUACAUGGAUGAUACAGCAGAGGAUUGGGAGAAUGUCAUGUGGUCAGAUGAAACCAAGAUAGAACUUUUUGGUACACCAACAACAGGUAUGUCACACCUGAGAGACAUGGCACACACCAACAACAGGUAUGUCACACCUGAGAGACAUGGCACACACCAACAACAGGUAUGUCACACCUGAGAGACAUGGCACACACCAACAACAGGUAUGUCACACCUGAGAGACAUGGCACACACCAACAACAGGUAUGUCACACCUGAGAGACAUGGCACACACCAACAACAGGUAUGUCACACCUGAGAGACAUGGCACACACCAACAACAGGUAUGUCACACCUGAGAGACAUGGCACACACCAACAACAGGUAUGUCACACCUGAGAGACAUGGCACACACCAACAACAGGUAUGUCACACCUGAGAGACAUGGCACACACCAACAACAGGUAUGUCACACCUGAGAGACGUGGCACACACCAACAACAGGUAUGUCACACCUGAGAGACAUGGCACACACCAAUAACAGGUAUGUCACACCUGAGAGACAUGGCACACACCAACAACAGGUAUGUCACACCUGAGAGACUGGCACACACCAACAACAGGUAUGUCACACCUGAGAGACAUGGCACACACCAACAACAGGUAUGUCACACCUGAGAGACAUGGCACACACCAACAACAGGUAUGUCACACCUGAGAGACAUGGCACACACCAACAACAGGUAUGUCACACCUGAGAGACAUGGCACACACCAACAACAUGUAUGUCACACCUGAGAGACAUGGCACACACCAACAACAGGUAUGUCACACCUGAGAGACAUGGCACACACCAACAACAGGUAUGUCACACCUGAGAGACAUGGCACACACCAACAACAGGUAUGUCACACCUGAGAGACGUGGCACACACCAACAACAGGUAUGUCACACCUGAGAGACGUGGCACACACCAACAACAGGUAUGUCACACCUGAGAGACAUGGCACACACCAAUAACAGGUAUGUCACACCUGAGAGACAUGGCACACACCAACAACAGGUAUGUCACACCUGAGAGACUGGCACACACCAACAACAGGUAUGUCACACCUGAGAGACAUGGCACACACCAACAACAGGUAUGUCACACCUGAGAGACAUGGCACACACCAACAACAGGUAUGUCACACCUGAGAGACAUGGCACACACCAACAACAGGUAUGUCACACCUGAGAGACAUGGCACACACCAACAACAGGUAUGUCACACCUGAGAGACAUGGCACACACCAACAACAGGUAUGUCACACCUGAGAGACAUGGCACACACCAACAGGUAUGUCACACCUGAGAGACGUGGCACACACCAACAACAGGUAUGUCACACCUGAGAGACGUGGCACACACCAACAACAGGUAUGUCACACCUGAGAGACGUGGCACACACCAACAACAGGUAUGUCACACCUGAGAGACAUGGCACACACCAACAACAGGUAUGUCACACCUGAGAGACGUGGCACACACCAACAACAGGUAUGUCACACCUGAGAGACGUGGCACACACCAACAACAGGUAUGUCACACCUGAGAGACAUGGCACACACCAACAACAGGUAUGUCACACCUGAGAGACAUGGCACACACCAACAACAGGUAUGUCACACCUGAGAGACGUGGCACACACCAACAACAGGUAUGUCACACCUGAGAGACAUGGCACACACCAAUAACAGGUAUGUCACACCUGAGAGACAUGGCACACACCAACAACAGGUAUGUCACACCUGAGAGACUGGCACACACCAACAACAGGUAUGUCACACCUGAGAGACAUGGCACACACCAACAACAGGUAUGUCACACCUGAGAGACAUGGCACACACCAACAAGAGGUAUGUCACACCUGAGAGACAUGGCACACACCAACAACAGGUAUGUCACACCUGAGAGACAUGGCACACACCAACAACAGGUAUGUCACACCUGAGAGACAUGGCACACACCAACAACAGGUAUGUCACACCUGAGAGACAUGGCACACACCAACAGGUAUGUCACACCUGAGAGACGUGGCACACACCAACAACAGGUAUGUCACACCUGAGAGACGUGGCACACACCAACAACAGGUAUGUCACACCUGAGAGACGUGGCACACACCAACAACAGGUAUGUCACACCUGAGAGACAUGGCACACACCAACAACAGGUAUGUCACACCUGAGAGACAUGGCACACACCAAUAACAGGUAUGUCACACCUGAGAGACAUGGCACACACCAACAACAGGUAUGUCACACCUGAGAGACUGGCACACACCAACAACAGGUAUGUCACCCAAUAUCUAAGUUAAAUUUAAACCAAUGUGGGUGGCACUGGGAGCAGGUGGGUAAAGUGUCUUGCCCAAGGACACAACGACAGUAACUAGGAUGGCACAGCGGGAAUCGAACCUGCAACCCUCAAGUUGCUGGCACGGCCACUCUACCAACCGAGCUAUGCCUGCUAAGCACUCUGCCCAUAGUUUCCCUCCUGCUCAUGCUAUGUAAGUUUUUGGUUUUUCUUUAUGUCAUGCCAUAGUGCUAGUUUUGUUUUCUAGUCAAGUUUGUUCUCCGCCCUCGUGCGCGCCUUUUGUUUGCCUUUUUUAGUGUUAGUAUGAGAAAUAAAUAUGUACUUACAUUCACGUCUUGCCCGUGCCAACUUUCCUUUGCGUCGGAAAAACAAACAAGUCCAAGUCCUGACACUUCUAAAUCACUAAUUCUUGUCUCCCUGGCGAAAAAAUAAAGUGACUUUCUUACAAGUAUCAAAUAGUUUUGGUACCGGUACGAAAAUAUUGGUAUUGGGAUGCCCUUAAACUGUAUACUAGUUAUGCCUUUGGUGGUGAAAUCCAAUAAUACAGCAUGUGCCCUUUACCUUUGACUUAAUUAAUGUGUCAUCUCUUUAGCGACAUCUGGUGGUGAAAUCAAGGCUUACAACCAGGAUAAUCCCACUCGCGUCGACAACCUGAAUGUGCUUAAAGUUAUUCCCUGUGUAAACAUCAAUGCAGGUUGAAGUUUCGGGAAAUGGUUCAACUAGGGCCAAUGUUCUGAAGAACCAAUUUGUGAGCUGAGCUCUGCGUUUCAGACAAACGGCCUCGGGUCUAGGCUCCGUCACGUGCCGGUCUGGUGGUUUGAUCGCCCCUUGGGUCAACAUGCUGGCUACGUACCACCGGUCCAUACCUAUGGUUAUCUUCAGCGGCCUGGCGCUGAUCAGCGGGGCUCUCGGCUUCAUGCUUCCUGAGACCCGAGGGAUUGAACUACCAGAUUCGACCGACGAUGCUGAGGGCAACAGAAGACGACCAGGAAAGUUGUAAAUAAAACAUACACACCGAGCCAAGUAAACUGUCGUGGAUGGUCUGUGAGUCCGAGGAUUUCCAAAACAAGACCCGCUCCUUGGUCUACAGACUGUACCAUGGUGUUGAACCACAUUUAGCUUUGAUUACCUCAUCCAUUCCUCAAGAUUCUUCAACAUCACCAUGUUUGUGACUGUUCCCGCCCCCGGAUAUUGACGACAGGUAUUCUGCCCUCGCAACGCAUUCUGAGCUUCAUGCAGCUGGUGGCUCGGUAACGGCAUGCGGUUCUUUAACCUCCUCUUAUAUUGUUUUUGUUUAAGUCAUGUUCUGUUUGGUUUUUGGACACUCCGUUCCUGCUUUUUCACUCCUGUUUUGUCACCAGAGCAACCAUUAGUUUCACCUGUUUCACAUUUUGAGUCACGCACCUGUUUUCACUAAUCACCACAGCAUUAUUUGAGCCUGUAGUUGCCAGGUAGUCAGCCUGGCGACAUCACCUCCUACACACCUUCUACGCCUUCCAUGCCGAUGAUCCAGGUUACUUUCUUGUUCAAAGUAAGUUUUUGUUAUUCAUGCCAUAGUGCUAGUUUUUGUUUUACGACCAUAGUUUUGCCUUAGAGCAAGUUUUAUUUUCAUAGUCAAGUUUUCAUACCUCCUCUGUGAGCGCUUUUCGUUUGUUCUUUUUUUGAUUAAAUUAAAAGAUGUCCUUACCUUCA